AGUGAACGCUGGCGGUAGGCCUAACACAUGCAAGUCGAACGGCAGCACAGUAAGAGCUUGCUCUUACGGGCGGCGCGUGGCGGACGGGUGAGGAAUACAUCGGAAUCUACUUUUUCGUGGGGGAUAAUGCAGGGAAACUUACGCGAAUACCGCAUACGACCUACGGGUGAAAGCAGGGGUUCUUCGGACCUUGUGCGAUUGAAUGAGCCGAUGUCGGAUUAGCUAGUUGGCGGGGUAAAGGCGCACCAAGGCGACGAUCCGUAGCUGGUCUGAGAGGAUGAUCAGCCACACUGGAACUGAGACACGGUCCAGACUCCUACGGGAGGCAGCAGUGGGGAAUAUUAGACAAUGGGCGCAAGCCUGAUCCAGCCAUACCGCGUGAGUGAAGAAGGCCUUCGGGUUGUAAAGCCAUUUUGUUGGGAGAGAAAAGCAGCAGGUUAAUACGCCGCUGUUCUGACGGUACCCAAAGAAUAAGCACCGGCUAACUUCGUG
rnacentral:rRNA from 1 species